rnacentral:misc_RNA from 1 species
UCAACCCUCAAGUUUAACUUGGUAUUGGACCUUUAUCAAUAAAAAAGAUAGGUCUCAAAGAUAAUGACAGAGUUUUUAAACUCUUGAUGCAACGAGCUUUUUAAGCACGCAUUAUAGUGAUUAAUAACUCUUGUCUUUAAUUAAUUUAUAA